AAGCAGAGUGCCCAGGUUGACCACUACGCCACCAGGCCAGCUCCUGGGCUUUUCCUUUUAUAUCUCCAACGCAGGUUUAGAAUCCGGUUGGUUGGGAAUGACCCUAAUUAAGGUAAGGAUCCCAUAAGAGGGAGCGGGCUUAUGGAGACUGAAAACAAAGCUGAUACCAAAUUCAUUUUUAACCUUCCAGCUGGGUGGUGCUCUGCAAAUCACAGGAAUAAGAGACUCAGUUUUUUCAUUUCUAUCCCAAUAAUUGAUAUCUAGGUCAUGAAAUAUCUAGUUGGUUUUCCUCCCCGCAGAUGAAAACGUGUGUGAUGCUGACGGAGAAAGGCUCAAGCCACAGACAUCCACACCCAAUAAUUAGCUAAUCUAUCCUAAAUGCCAGAGAUGAGUAGGAAAAAAAACAGAAAAAGAAACGACAGCUUUUAUCCACAAUUUGACAGAGCAUUUAACCUGAAAAGGUCCAAAAGAGGAUUAAGAUGGUCCACAGAGUGUUCAUACAAGUUGAUGUAGCCUCUUGGGAUUAAAAAAAAGAGCUUCAGAUUAUAGGAAGUAGCUGGCAAGUUAGGAAUUAGAAAUGGAAGCCUUCCAGACGAUGCCAACAAUAUCAAUGAAAAUGACAACCAUGAUUAUCUUGAUGCAGAAACAAAUACAGUCCUGGUCCACCAAGCUCUCUUGUGUCCAUUUUGCUUUAUCAGAACCAAUUCUCACCAACAAAUCCACAUCAGCUACUCCAAUUGCCUUUGUAGCAUAUGACUUCCUGUUUUCCAGCUAGUGACAGAAAUAUUUUACUCCUUGAGAAGAAUUUUUAAAAAUCUUUUCCUUUUCUGGAUCAGAGUGUGAAUGAUG
rnacentral:lncRNA from 1 species